GUUUGCUCCAGCGGCACACACACUGAACUUGGAAUCACACAAAGAAGAUUGGCAUGGCCCCUGUGUGAGAAUAAUACGCAAAUUUGUGAACUGCUAUGCUCUCAA